AUAACACUCAAUUAAUUGCUGCUGUGUUAAAAUAUGCCUUGAGGGAGGAGGACAAGAUGGCGGAGGAGUAGGGGGACACGCUCGCCCUCUCCCACAAACACAACAAAAAAAGCACAUCUACAGAAGAAAUGACUCGCACAGAACAACAACCAAUCGCUGGCAGAGGAACCUAAACUCCAAUAACGGCAAGAAGUUCGUGACAUUAUUGGGCAGAACGGGAGAAAAGAGGAGAGUGAGAGAAGGUGAAUCCGAGCGGGACGGGCGCUCCCGAAAGGGAACUGCGGAGGAGAAAGGGAUCCCGCACCCUGGAAAGUCUCCUACCGGGGGAAAGAUCAAACGAACCGGAGGAAUCUCCAGAUGCAGAGAAGAGUGUAGCAGUAAGUCGGAGUACGGAAAAACGAUCAAGAACCCAACGGACCAUCUGAACUACGGGCACAGUCACCAAAAAUUGAGACGCCUGGGUGGGGGCUGGGCACCGAAUCCUCGGCUCCAGAGGUUAGUCCCCGGGAAAGGGCCGGGGGACGCCUGGGUGGGGGCUGGGCACCGAGACCUCAGCUCUGAAGGUUGGUCCCCGAGAGGGGGCCGGGGGACGCCUGGGUUGGGGCUGGGCACCGAGACCUCGCCUCCGAAGGUUAGUCCCCAAGAAAGGGCCGGGGGGCGCCGCCUGGGUGGGGGCUGGGCACCGAGACCUCGGCUCCAGAGAUUAGUCCCCGGGCUAGGGGGCGGGGAAGAGCGGAAACUGCUUGGGAGGUCUCUAAACCAUUUGACGGGGCAGAGACUGCCUGGGAGACUAGAAAACAAAGCUGUCGCAGAGGAAGGGAGCAAUACUCUAGGGGCGGGGAAGUGGAAAGCCGCCUCAGAGGGAACCUGGAGAAGAGCCUGGUCUGCGCCCGUGCUGGGGAGGGGAGAGAAGAAGGGGUGGGUCCCCAUAGAAUACCCCCCACGCCACAGCAAGCUUACAGGCCCGCUAGCUAGCAGAAAGCUGUGCUUCCCAGUGCAUUCCCUCCCCCCACCCCGCCACCCCCUACGCUCUCGCCGAACCUGGGCUGCCUGCCAUCCAGGAGGGCUGGCCUCAACAAUUGCCUGAAGCCUACCACCGCAGGGGCUCUCCCUGCACAGGCCUGCUUGCCCUUUGGAGGGGCUACACUUCCAC
rnacentral:lncRNA from 1 species